rnacentral:lncRNA from 1 species
UCGAUCAAAUAAGACCUUAUUCGGUCGAUGAAAAACUAGGCUUCAUGCACAAAUUCCCUUUCCUCUUGUUUUCUCUACUCUGUCCUUUCAGGUGAGAUUCAAUGUCGCAGAGUAGUACUUCCUUUCAGAGAAGGUUUCGAUGUGGUAUUAUUGCCAACCAUUUCACAUGAACCACUCCCGCUAACCCCGGUAGAAAAUUUUAUAAAUAUGCACGGCCUAAGGUAAGUGUUUUAUGUGGAUUUGUCUAAUCUUUCUACUAUAUCUAGAUGUUUUGAUUCGAAAAUUGAAUCUUUUAAAUGGUUCUUUGGCAGAAUAAUUCAUAUGGUUAUUUCGAAUGGAAAAAUGAAAUAUUCGCGGAUGGUCCCAGCUUGAAAUAAGAGAAUUCACGUCGUCUUUGAAUGCAAUUACGAUUGAAAGAAACAAAUU